UUGUUGUGAUGAAAACUCACUUUAUAGAUGACAUUCAUAUAGUGCUUUAUGAUACUUCGGCAUUCAUGUCGAACCCGAGCGGUUACCUGAGCAA